rnacentral:tRNA from 1 species
GGGGAUGUGGCGGAAUGGUAGACGCUACGGACUUAAAAUCCGUUGACCGAUAAGGUCGUGCGAGUUCGAGUCUCGCUAUCCCUA